UUAGACCACCUAAUUUAUCAAUUUAAUUUACCAUUACAGUUUUAGAUUUGCAUAAAACAUAAUGUUGUUGAGUCUCUAGUCACCGCCAGAAAAGCUUUUGUUUACUAAAUCUCUUUUGGUUUGGAGUUGGUAGUCAAAUUUCAAAUCAACUGGGGUUUCAAACGAUAUUUGUCUUUGGAGCAAAUUCAUCUCAAAUGAAAUCUGAAAUGGUAUAAAUGUCUUGCCGGACAUCUUUUGGCUUUGGUGCCAACCUCCUCUGCUGCAGGUGUUCGGUCAGUCAUUUGGAGGUUUGUGGGUGCAACUUAAUUGCUGAUUGAAGACGGUUUGGUCAGUCAAUUUAAUUGGCAAAUUUGACUGAUGAUACACAUUUGUCAAGCUCUCGUAAUGACUUUCUAUUGGGGAUACUACCCUUGGCUCAAAACAGUUGCAACAAGAACUAGAUGAUUGAAGGGAGUGCUGACCCAGCAUUUGGUGAGGGGAUUACAGAAGCAUCAAAUGAACAUCACCAAAUACAAUACACUAAAGAAACAGCACCGUGUAAGUGUUCCUAACAGUCUGUAUGGUGGAAAUGAUCAACAUUCCUAUAGUUCUCCUAACGGAGGAUGAUAUGGCAGUCCUGUGACUCCUGUCCCGUAUCAACUACCAAAUACAUUCCUUCGGACUGCCCGAUAUCAACCCCCAAAUACAUUCCUUCCAUGCAUGCUCCCUUCCCAGGGAAAAAAUGCAGAGCUAUAUCAGGCUUGCAGUAACAGUAAAUAUUGAAGGAAAAUUUUGAGGAGCUUAGACUUUUGGAGGUUCCUUAGUAGCCUUGUGAGAACCCACUUGGUAACAUACCCAAAUGUAGCACUGCUAGAUACAAUAUGUCCUCACAGAACCAGUUUAUGACUAGCUUUAUAAAAUUGUUUUCUUUCUGCGAAUCUUUCUUUACACAUCUUUGUUGAGAUGUUUUUAUGAUACUUCCAAUCGUCGAUACUCAAUAAGUUGACCAACUGCACUUUACCAUUUUUUCACAGCCCUCGGCAAACUUUGGGACAUGUUGAUUCUGCAAUUUAUGGUAAACCAAGCAGCAGUCUUGCCCGUCAUCAGCUUCAUUAGGAGAGUCGGAUCUCAAAUGGAUGCAUCUCUACAGUUUCUUUCAUGAGUUUAUUUUACUUACUGUUUGUAGUUUCUUUGCCAUUUUAGAUUUGAGGGAAGUAUCAAAUGUAUGGAGAUUCUGUUUUGGGAAAGUAUGGAUAGAAACCAAAUGUGCGGGAUGUGGUGAAAGUAGGAACAGUUUUGACUGGUUAUUACAUUUUGGUUGUUGUUUGCAUAUUAUUCAGUUUCUUCACGGAAGUAUUUAUCUUCUAAUGAGAAUUACCAUAUGGACCUAUCUUUUGUGGGAAUAGAUGACUGAACAGUAAAACAGAAUAAUCCCUGCACGGUAUAUAUAAACUACUGUUCUUUGUAGUUGGAUACAUCUGUGUCAAGCUUCUUUAUCUUAUUUAACUUGUUCCGAUUUAGCUUUUCGCUUCCGCCUUAAUAAGCUUUAUUUGUGUAAUUGACCAUUGAGUUGUAUUGCAGCCUUUACUCCCAUCUUUUCUAUUCAGAGCCUGGGAAUGGCCUGUGGAAGUGCAAAGCUGACACUGCUUUCCAGCAUUGCACGACAAUAAAGUCAUUUUUUGAGGAAACCCUCAUGGCGAUUCCCGACUCUGUCUUGGAUUCACCAGUUGGAGAGAUGCCAGUUUGUCAAUAUGAGCUUUUUGCAGAUAUACAUAGUUUGUUACCCCCUCCAUAUGAAGUGAGAGAACAGGAGUUGCUGUAUGCUUAAUUUCUAUAUCUACUUGUGUCCGUCUCUUUUGAACGAGACCUAAUUCGUCUCGUCUAACAUGUGUCAAUUAAUUCAUCUGUGGAUAUACAAUCACAAUUAUGUUACCUAUAUCAGCAUAUUUGAGGGACUUCCAUUUGAAUGUUUAUUUGCAAAAUGCCUUUGGGUUGGGAUUAUAACAGUGUACUGAAGAAGAAAAAUAUAAACGUGCAAAUGCAGUGCAUGUGUCUUGUAUCUUGUGAGGCUUAGACAGUGGCUAUUGUGAUUUAUCA